rnacentral:rRNA from 1 species
UACAGAGGUGGCAAGCGUUGUUCGGAAUUACUGGGCGUAAAGGGCGCGUAGGCGGUUCGUUAAGUCCUGUGUGAAAUCCCCCGGCUCAACUGGGGAACUGCACAGGAAACUAGCGGGCUUGAGUUCGGGAGAGGGAAGCGGAAUUCCGGGUGUAGCGGUGAAAUGCGCAGAUAUCGGGAGGAACACCAAUGGCGAAGGCAGCUCGCUGGGACGUUACUGACGCUGAGACGCGAAAGCGUGGGGAGCAAGCAGG